UACUAGAGUAGCACUCGCAUAUCAAUAAGCGGAGGAAAAGAAACUAACAAGGAUUCCCCUAGUAACGGCGAGUGAAGCGGGAAGAGCUCAAAUUUGAAAUCUUAAAGGGUUUCCCUUUACGAAUUGUAGUUUAAAGAAGUGUUUUCUGUUGAGGUUUUGGUAAAAGUUCUUUGGAAUAGGACAUCAUAGAGGGUGAGAAUCCCGUAUUUGACCUUUACUUUCAACUUUGUGAUACACUUUCAAAGAGUCGGAUUGUUUGGGAAUGCAGUCCAAAAUGGGUGGUAAAUUUCAUCUAAAGCUAAAUAUUGGCGAGAGACCGAUAGCGAACAAGUACCGUGAGGGAAGGAUGAAAAGAACUUUGAAAAGAGAGUUAAACAGUACGUGAAAUUGUCAAAAGGGAAGCGUUUGACACCAGUGUUGUUUUUCUGAAAAUCAAUUAAAGAACUGUUUAUGCUAAGCUGUUUAGACUUUAUCAGCUAAUCUGUUUAGUUUUGAGCUUUUCUUUAAUGCACUUUUCAGUUAACAAGUCAACAUCAAUUUCUUUUGCUGUAAAAAAGCUUGAGGAAGGUGGCUUGAGAUUCGUCUUAAGUGUUUAUAGCCUCUUGCCUAUGCAGUCGGAGAGAUUGAGGUCUGCAGCGUAGAUCCUUCGGGGCUAAAUGCAUUUGUGCUAAGUUAUAGCAUUUUAUAGACAACUUGUUGACUAUGAUUUGUCUUGUAGCUUACUCGCUUAUGUUAUUUUACCUACGCUUAGGAUGUUGAGCGCAUGUCUCUCUCU
rnacentral:rRNA from 1 species